UGUAAUGAUGAUUCAUUUGACUAGAGUCUCUGAAAUACCUAUGAAGUUUUUUUUAUAGUUCACUGAACA